UCCUACGGGGGGCAGCAGUGAGGAAUAUUGGUCAAUGGCCGGAAGGCUGAACCAGCCAAGCCGCGUGAAGGACUAAGGUGCCAAGCAUUGUAAACUUCUUUUGUCAAGGGACAAAAUCAGGCUCGAGAGCCUGACCGAGGGUACUUGAAGAAAAAGCAUCGGCUAACUCCGUGCCAGCAGCCGCGGUAAUACAGAGGAUGCGAGCGUUAUCCGGAUUUAUUGGGUUUAAAGGGUGCGUAGGCGGACUGUUAAGUCAGCGGUAAAACCCCGGGGCUCAACCCCGUCGAGCCGUUGAAACUGGCUGU
rnacentral:rRNA from 1 species